rnacentral:lncRNA from 1 species
UGUGUUAACUAUUACCGAUUCUGAUUAUGUUCAGUGUCCUUCCCAGGAAAACCCCAUGUUUUCCUGAAAGUGUGUAUGUGUGUGUAUCUUUACCGAUUCUGGUUAUGUUCAGUGUUCUCCCAGGAAAACCCCAUGUUUUCCUGAAUGUGUGUAUAUGUGUGCCUGUCAUCCUUGAACGUACAUUAGUUUUAUUAUGUACAUAAAACUAAUAAAUACUCGUAAAGUGUUAAUAAUCCUAAUUGCGAGUCCUUAACCAUACUCAGACUAGAUAUGACUCGGACCAGGGCCAGUAUCCUUUUUAUGACUUUCGUCACCCUUGAACCUUUCGGUUCGGCUGUAGCUAGCAGCCAGGUGUGGGAUUGUCAGUCCCGUAUAGAUCUAUACACUCAAGCCACGCUCUCCUACGCUCGGAGAUUCUGGUUACAGGGUUAGUCCUCCACUAUCUCGUGCCAAGGAAGUGUUACAAGGACGUGUCUCCAAUCUUUAAGAUUACUCUUUACUUUUCGACUAGGAAAGUAGUAUCUACGACUAGCUAAGUUCUAACGUACCUGUCCUUUACACUCGAGCCUAGGUGUUUUAUUAAGGACAUUACACUCGAGCCUAGGUGUUAUCUAAUGAUGACUGUCCUUUACACUCGAUCCUAGGUGUAUUAUUAAGGACGUUACAAAUGAUAUAUGUGUUAUCUUAUGGUGAUUGUCCUUUACACUCGAUCCUAGGUGUAUUAUUAAGGACAUUACAAUUGAUUUGUGUAUUAUGAUGGUAUUUAUCUAUCACACUCGAGCCUAGGUGUAUUGUUAAGGACAUACAGAUGUUUUAUGUUUUCUGAUGGUGUCUGUCUUUUACACUCGAACCUUAGUGUUUUAUUACAGACAUUACAAUGGUUUAUGUGUUCUAUCAGUUUAAAUGUGAACAAUCAAAUAUAAGGUAUACAAUACAUCAAUGUAUAAUAAGAAUUGAAAAUCGGGUUAAAACAAAUAACUCUGCAAGUUAAAACAGUUUGUUAAAUGGUUUUCAAUUCUUAAAAAUGUACAAUUAUGAAACCAUUUAACUGAAGUCAUGUGUUUAAGUACAAGAUAUUCUUGUACUUUUGCUUGUAUUCCCCCCUGAAAACAUUGAAAAACCAUUGAAAAAGGGUAGGGGUAUGAACUCACCGGACGCAGAAAUGUGUCGAUUUCGGAUGCUAAACGUCGAAUCGAGGCCUGAUAACACGCGAGGUUCCUAUGUAACAUGAAAUGGCAUACAAAUAUAUCUAAUUAGAUUCAUAAACUCUAAUUAGAUAUGAAGUCACACUCCAACGAACGAAAACACCUCAAAACGGGUGUUUGGAGUGACCCGGGUGACAUCUACGGACUUGAAAUGAAGCGAGGGACUUGGGAUUUGAGUUUACUCCCCAAGAGUAAACUUCCUAAUGAGUUUACAACCUUAAACAACACUCACACAUGAUUUCACGGCCGUGAACUCAUGUAAGCAUGGGUAAUGGAUCUUAAAUGGCCAAUAUCACUUGGGAAGAGUUGGAACAAUUUUACCUAAGGCUUGGAAUUAAUUUAAAACAUCAAAUAACAACACUUAGGGGAGUUUACGGCCUUAGCAUGGAGCUUACGGCUGUAAACUCUCAUACCCCCAUGAAUAAGUGUUUUUAAUGUCUCAAAGUUAAUCACAUGUGAUUCUAAAAAUUCCUACAAGCCUUGAAAUGAUUUUGGGGCACAAUUUAACAUACUUUUAGGAGUUUACAGCCCAAGCACAUGCCUUGGCCGUAAACUUAUACAAAUCCCUCAAAAUUCAUGUUUAAAGUGUUCUAAGUCCAUUACCAAAUUUCUAAAAGUCAUAUCUAGGUCUAGUUUGAGUCAUAGAAGGGUUUAAGGGCUUAAAAACCCUUUAAAUAUGGGUUUACGGCCUAAGCACCUUCCUGGGCCGUAAACUCAUAUACAAGGCUCUAAAUCAUGAAUAAAUCUCGAAUUUGAAGGUCCAAUAUGAUACACAAUGAGUAUAGGAAGGUACCUUGAAGAUUUGAAGCCUUAAACUUGAGAUUUGGACCUUUAAAUCUAGUUUGAGGAGAGAGGUUGUUGGGAUAGUUGUAGAAUGAAGCAAAAGGUUCAAAAUGAAGACUUGGAUCACUUUAAAUAGUGUACAAGUUCGGGACACGGUAAAAUUUUACCCGAUACCGGCGUUAGACGGGGAUUUUGGUCGCACCCGGCCAAUUUGCCGUAACCCGAUAUGGUUGAUUCCAGAAAUGUUCUGAUCAUUAAUAUGAGGCGUUAGAAUAAGUUCUAAGGGUAUUAAGACACUCAUUAAGUCAUAAAAUAAAAUCCACAUUAAUGACUUAAUAAAAUGUCGGAAUCGGAAACGAAAUCGGAAACGGCGAUUGGAUUAUCAGAACGAGUUGCGUGAAGGGUUACAUUUAGGGAUAUGAAUUUCGCGUUGUUACAUUAUCCCCCGUUAGAGGGAAUUUCGUCCCGAAAUUCAAAGAUUCGAACACAGAUCACGAAGUGAAAAGAGAUAUGAGGAUGAAUCUACUGCUUCGGGUCUUCAAGCUCUUAAGUGGAAUGGGUUCUCCGCUUGACAUUCCAGCGAACCCUCACUGUCAGGAUGUGGCUUUGUUACACAUGGUUAACCUCUAAAUCCACGAUCUCAAUUGAUUCAUACACGAAGGUUCGGAUUUUCAUUGGUUUUGACCUCAUCAAAGGGCGACUAAGGUUUUCGUUAGGUUAGCACUUCUCACAAACAACGAUGUGGAAUACCGGAUGCUCGCUGCGGAGUUCCUGAAGAUAGCUCGGAGAGGGCUAUGGAAUUGAUUCCUAACGAGGAUCUCGAAGAGUCUAAGGUUCCACAAGUUAAGUUUUCCAUACUUCCCAAGGUGUACUAUGUCUUUCUAGGGUAAAACCUCCAACAAGUGGGUACAUUUUCACAUGGCAGAGUAACUAAGGGUCCGAUGGUUCUAAGGGAAACUUCUACAUGAGUCUACGAUUAUAGUCGGCAGAACCCAAGAAUCGACAGGUUUCCAUGGGUGUUCCCGGUGUCGACUAAUUCUUUAUUGCCUUUGCCUUUGGAAGGGUUUACGAGUAUGACUGCUUUGCUUAUCUACAUGACCAAGAAAAUGGUUCGACCGAAGGGCGCCACUAUUAACUCGUAGUGAUCGUAUCAUGCCCUGAUUGCUGCCUUGCACAUAUCGUGCUUUCUGAAGUUUGGCUACGAGAUAAUUUCAGGGAUUAGGUCGAUGUGAGACUUGACUACAUGUUCGGAAAGAAUUAUCAAGAAUUCUUUGGAAAUAGUAUCGGGGAAAGAAUCGUAGACUUCUCGUUUCUCGAUGAUUACUCGGAUGAGGGAUACAUGGGAAAACUUUUUAAGCUUUGAUGUACGAAGAUCAUGAGAGUCGGGUCGUAGGGAAGUUAAAACGAACGGCUUUCUCGAAUCUAGGAAUGACAACAUGAAUGAGGCUCGUUCAUUACAUGCUAAAGGUGACAUCAAAGCAUUUCAUAAAAAGUUUGCCAAUAGGUCGAAUGGAAAAAGAAUAAUCGCUCGGAUUGAGAAUACAAUCUACGGAUACGACACAAGCGUUCUCGUUCUCACGUGAUAACCAUCUCGAAGAUAUACAUUUUCGGUUACUUGCAAACGACGGGGUUAGAAAAUGUUCAAAUGGAUGGUUAACGAAUUUCUUUCGGUGCUAGAAUCGAAAGGAAUCACAGGCAUAUAAUUUAACAAGGAGAAAUAUACCUGUGGCAACGGUAGGAUCGGUGGCUGUCUCCUCUUGUCCUAUCGCUAGAACUCUUUCGGUUUUGCCAUGUGUAGCCUUGGGACAGUUUCGCUUAAGAUGCCCAACUUCUCCACAACCAUAGCAGGCCCGACCAAUGCCCGCUCCGGAAGUUUGACUCGUUGAUUGGGUUGGUGUCUUACAGUUUUUCGCCAUGUGACCCUUUAUGCUACAUUUGUUGCAAAUUAUCUCAAUACAUGGACCGGAAGGAAGAUGAUGAUAGUUGCACUUGCCAUAACUAGGAAGGGUUCCAGUAUACCUAUUAGCAGGUUUUCGGGUUGAGGAUCCAUCAACAGAAACAGUUGCAAGGGAAGUGACAGUGUAAAAUGCAACCGUUUGCUGUCUCUUCGAAGACUCGUGCGAUGCCUGACUUUUCUCUUUCUUCCCAAGUUUUCUUUUCUCACCACUCCUCACUGUCGGCUCAGGAGUGGUAGCUGCCUCCUCAAGGUCUUCGCUAUGAUCGAUUAGGAUCUGUGUUAAGCGUUUGGCGCUGUCGUAUGUAUCCGGCCUCGCGGCUAUGACGUUUCCUUUCGUUGGAUGGGUCAGCCCCCAGAUGAAUCUUUCUAUCUUCUUACUCUCCGGGGUAACCAUUCUCGGGCAGAGUAGUGCCAAGUCGUCGAACCUGGAAGUAUAAGCAGUGAUGUCGUAACCUUUCAUCUUCAGGUUCCAAAGUUCAUGUUCUAACUUCUGCAUUUCGCCCUGAUGGCAGUACUCAGCCAGCAGAAGUUCCUUCAUGGCUUCCCAACCCAUGGCGUUGGCUACAGGUAAGGUUAAGGAUUUGACUCGGCCAUUCCACCAAGUCAAGGCUUUGUCGAUAAAGGUGCAGGCGGCAAACUUCACCUUGUCUGAAUCUGAACAUGCACAAAUUUCAAAGAUGGAUUAGAUCUUCUCGAACCAUCGGGCGAAGGAAAUGACACCUCAGUGCCAUUAAAGGACGUGGAUUUGGCGUUCAUGGAAUCCUUAUAGGAACCCUCUUUCCGGCGUCCCUGACUGCUUUCUUGGUUUUGGGUUUGGGUAUCACCUCCCGAACCACCGGAACCGUCGGAGUUCCGUUGAGACAUGGCAGCUGCUACCGCGACUGUAACAGCUGCCUGGAAUACUACGGGGUCGAUUUGAGGAGGAGGUGGUGGUGGAGGGUUGUUGGUCUUGGAGCUGGGUCUCUUUCUUGGAGGCAUCUUGAUCUAAUAAGAUCAAGGAAGAGAGGAUGGUAAGUCCUCUGAAUUGAAUCAAGAGAUAUGACAAAUAUAUGCUAACAAGCGAUAAAGCAGGAAAGAGUUAUCAAAGUGGGAAAAUUACUGCUAAGGGAAUGAUCAAAGAAUAAUGCAUGAAUGAGGAUUUCUACCAAGGAUUGGCUCGAGAAAUACUCCCAUAGUAUUUCAUGAUUCGUUACGACGCUGGUUCGAUGUUUGUGGUAUUACGGUAAGUUUUAGGCAUGUCGCUUACCAUAGUCACUCCCAAGCACAUGUUGGCCGUGUCUCGAAUGAAUAUAGUUGGCCAAGCUAUAUUGAUCCUAGAUACGACUACAUAACUGCCCAGGUUAAACCGCAGCGUACAACACCCAUUUACUUAUGUUCUGUUCUACUUGUAGUUACGGAUCUCGACGGGUUGGUAUACUUAUAUACUUUUGAAAAUACUUAUAUUUUGAAGGAUACUUUUAGUUUAGAGCACUUAGGUUCCUUAAUGUUUAUAGUUUUAUACCAUGUAAGUUUUGGUAUACUUCAUUCACUAUAAACAAGGGCUCUGAUACCAAUCUAUCACACCCCGAAAACCGAAGGCAGAAACAUUUCCGGGGUUGACUCCACGUUGAGUAUCAAAUCCAAUGUGCAUAGUAAGUAAAGUAAAUCAACCAUUACAUUACAUAUAUGAAAGUUUUACAUUCGUUUCAAAAGCAUAAGUUAUACAAGUGAUACAUAUCAUAUAUAAACAACACGAAACGAGUCUUCUGAGAACUCCGUCUUCAAACAAGAAGAUCUUCGGGUACCUGUCUAACGUGGACCUGAGAAUACAAGCGGUUUGAAAAUCAGCAUAAAGCUGGUGAGUUCAUAAGCGGUUAGAUUUUCUGAAAAUGUACGAGUUCCUUUGGUUUCCUGAAAAAGCGUUUAUCCAAGAAAAUCCCAUAUUUUCUUAUGUAAAGUUAGUUUCCAAAUCCGAAAAGUAAAGUAAACGAUGUACAAUGAAAACAUGAUUGUUCUUGUGAAUUGUAGUUCAGUUAUUUAAUUUGUUACACAUUUCUAGUUACGUACUACGGUUACUCAGGAAAACCCCAUGUUCUCCUGACUAUGUGUGUGUGAACUAUUACCGAUUCUGAUUAUGUUCAGUGUCCUUCCCAGGAAAACCCCAUGUUUUCCUGAAAGUGUGUAUGUGUGUGUAUCUUUACCGAUUCUGGUUAUGUUCAGUGUUCUCCCAGGAAACNGUUUUCCUGAAUGUGUGUAUGUGUGUGCCUGUCAUCCUUGAACGUACAUUAGUUUUAUUACGUACAUAAAACUAAUAAAUACUCGUAAAGUGUUAAUAAUCCUGAUUGCGAGUCCUUAACCAUACUCAGACUAGAUAUGACUCGGACCAGGGCCAGUAUCCUUUUUAUGACUUUCGUCACCCUUGAACCUUUCGGUUUGGCUGUAGCUAGCAGCCAGGUGUGGGAUUGUCAGUCCCGUAUAGAUCUAUACACUCAAGCCACGCUCUCCUACGUUCGGAGAUUCUGGUUACAGGGUUAGUCCUCCACUAUCUCGUGCCAAGGAAGUGUUACAAGGACGUGUCUCCAAUCUUUAAGAUUACUCUUUACUUUUCGACUAGGAAAGUAGUAUCUACGACUAGCUAAGUUCUAACGUACCUGUCCUUUACACUCGAGCCUAGGUGUUUUAUUAAGGACAUUACACUCGAGCCUAGGUGUUAUCUAAUGAUGACUGUCCUUUACACUCGAUCCUAGGUGUAUUAUUAAGGACGUUACAAAUGAUAUAUGUGUUAUCUUAUGGUGAUUGUCCUUUACACUCGAUCCUAGGUGUAUUAUUAAGGACAUUACAAUUGAUUUGUGUAUUAUGAUGGUAUUUAUCUAUCACACUCGAGCCUAGGUGUAUUGUUAAGGACAUACAGAUGUUUUAUGUUUUUUGAUGGUGUCUGUCUUUUACACUCGAACCUUAGUGUUUUAUUAGAGACAUUACAAUGGUUUAUGUGUUCUAACAGUUUAAAUGUGAACAAUCAAAUAUAAGGUAUACAAUACAUCAAUGUAUAAUAAGAAUUGAAAAUCGGGUUAAAACAAAUAACUCUGCAAGUUAAAACAGUUUGUUAAAUGGUUUUUAAUUCUUAAAAAUGUACAAUUAUGAAACCAUUUAACUGAAGUCAUGUGUUUAAGUACAAGAUAUUCUUGUACUUUUGCUUGUAUUCCCCCCUGAAAACAUUGAAAAACCAUUGAAAAAGGGUAGGGGUAUGAACUCACCGGACGCAGAAAUGUGUCGAUUUCGGAUGCUAAAUGUCGAAUCGAGGCCUGAUA